rnacentral:rRNA from 1 species
GGCCGUCCGGCGUACGCUUAACAACCAACUUAGAACUGGUACGGACAAGGGGAAUCUGACUGUCUAAUUAAAACAUAGCAUUGCGAUGGCCAGAAAGUGGUGUUGACGCAAUGUGAUUUCUGCCCAGUGCUGUGAAUGUCAAUAUGAAGAAAUUCAAGAAAGCCCCAGUAAACGGCGGGAGUAACUAUGACUCUCUUAAGGU